rnacentral:rRNA from 1 species
UGGGGAAUAUUGCACAAUGGGCGCAAGCCUGAUGCAGCAACGCCGCGUGAGGGAUGACGGCCUUCGGGUUGUAAACCUCUUUUAGUAGGGAAGAAGCGAAAAGUGACGGUACCUGCAGAAAAAAGCACCGGCUAACUACGUGCCAGCAGCCGCGGUAAUACGUAGGGUGCGAGCGUUGUCCGGAAUUAUUGGGCGUAAAGAGCUCGUAGGCGGUCUGUCGCGUCUGCCGUGAAAACCCGAGGCUCAACCUCGGGCCUGCAGUGGGUACGGGCAGACUAGAGUGCGGUAGGGGAGAAUGGAAUUCCUGGGUGUAGCGGUGGAAUGCGCGGAUAUCAGGAGGAACACCGAUGGCGAAGGCAGUUCUCUGGGCCGUAACUGACGCUGAGGAGCGAAAGCGUGGGGAGCGAACAGGAUUAGA